GUGAAACCCUGUCUCUACUAAAAAUACAAAAUACAAAAAAAAUCAGCCUGGCAUGGUGGCGGGCGCCUGUGGUCCCAGCUACUCUGGAGGCUGACGCAGGAGAAUGCCGUGAACCCGGGAGGCGGAGCUUGCAGAGAGCCGGAGAUCACGCCACUGCACUCCAGCCUGGGCUACAGAGCAAGACUCCGUCUCAAAAAAAACCAAAACAAAACAAAACAAAAAAAACACCCAGUUUUUCCAUGGAGUGAUAGAAUUUAAUUGAUGAGCUUGACGAGCUUAAUUACAGAAGGGAGAGCUCCAAAAUACAUGAGAUUUUCCAUGUCUACUCUGGUGCCAUUACUGGAAGAUCCUUCCAUUUUCUACAAGGGAUUUUUACCUAUAUUGUUGAGAGGCUAAGAAGUUCCAUGAUCUGCUCUCUGCAAGCUGGAUACCUGCCUGGCCUGGUAGGCCAUAAAGCCAAUGAUAUAAAUUCCAGUUCAAGCCUGAAGGCAUGACAACAAGGAGCACUGAAGGCAGGAGGAGAUUGAUGUGCUGACUCAAACAGCCAGGAAGAACAUGAAUUCAACCUUCCUCUGCCUUUUGGUUCCAGUCCAGCUCUCAGUGGUUUGAGUAAUGCUCACCCAGGUUGGGGAGGGCCAUCUGUUUUACUAGGUCGACUAAUUUAAAUUUUAAUCUCAUCCAGAAACAACCUCACAGGCACACCCAGAAAUGACGUUUAUCCAGCACUCUGGGUAUCCAGUGGCCCAGUCAAGUUGACACAUAAAAAUAACCAUCACAGAUUGGAAGUUGCCACACCGCCAUCUUUACCAAAAGAAAAAAAAAAGCCCCCAGAAUCUAACUUUUCCUGAACACUUUAGUGUACUGCAAAAUUAGACAGAUUAGUAAAUCAAGAGCAUUCAGAUCCACCUACCUGUAAUGAAGCCACUAAAGCCAUAAACUAGCAGAAAGUUUUAAAUGGUAAUUUUGGUGAAUUGCUGGAGGCUGAGAGUGGACCAGUUUGAGAUUAAACACUCCUAUGGGCGACAGUCUGAGGAGGUGCCUAGGAACCUUGUGGAUUUUAUUUCCAGUAACCUCAUCAGAUUCUUAUGGUGAGGAGCUAAGAACUUUCCCCCUCCCUCUGUGACUCUGGCAGAGGGAGGGGUAUAGUAACUCUUGUAAAAUAUACUGAGAAAAUUUUUCAUAACAAAAGACUAUAAGGGAAAAGAAUUUACUGGAGCCUUAUCUCACAUGGGGAAGGACAUUAUUCCCAAUUUAGUACCAUCUAGGCUUUAGUCUUCUUGUCUUAUUCAGUGGGAGAAAGAAAAAGGAGAAAUGCUAUCUUAGUAGAGAAAUAAUUGUGAAGAUCAUGGCCUAGGGAAACAGACCCAGUAAAUGUUUGAGAUUUAAUUGUAACUGUAAAGAAGGCCUCCCUUCCCUUACACCCUGUCACAACACCAGCGUGGCUCCAGCAUAAAAACAAUAGACUAUAGGUAAAAGAGCAGCAAGACAAAGAAUUUUUCUGAGGAGGAGAACUUAAAAUAGCCCAGAGUCUAGAAGAUAGACACAAACAAAGACACUAAAGGAAUUUGAAGCCUCUUGCACCUAAGCUACUUUAAACAAUAAUUAUACUCCAAGUCCUAGCAAUAGCAAGAGUAACAUAAAAACCUCUCAUUGAAGUCUUCUUAGCUAACAAAAAAAAAAACAAAAAUACAAAAAAAACCAUGACUGACUGACAUGGUUUGGCUCUGUGCCCCCACCCAAAUCUCAUCGGGAGUUUUAAUGCCCAUGUGUCGAGGGAGGAACUUGGUGGGAGGUGAUUGGAUCAUGGGGGCAGUUUCCUCCAUGCUGUUCUCAUAAUGGUGAGGAAGUUCUCACCAGAUCUGCUGCUUUAAAAGUCGUUUAAAAAGAAAGUGGGAGCUCUCUCUCUCUCCUGCUGCCUUGCAAGACGUACCUUGCUUCCCCUUCACCUUCCACCAUGACUGUAAGUUUCCUGAGGCCUUCUAAGCCAUGCAGAAUGGUGAGUCAAUUAAACCUCUGUCCUUUAUGAAUUACCUAGUCAGGUAGUAUCUUUAUAACAGCGUGAAAAUGGAUUAAUACAUUGGCUUUCAACAAAAAAUUAGAAGGCAUGCUAAAAGGCAAGAAAUACAUAGCCUGAAGAGACAAAGGAAGCAUCAGAACCAGACAGAGGUGUGAUAUCAAUGUUGAAAUUAUCAGAUGAAAAAUUUAAAAUAACUGAAACUGCCUUCGCCAAAAAUAUAACAGUGAGAAAUUUACCAUAACUGGCUCCAUCUUGCUUCUAACCUCACAAGCUGCCUUUGCUCAUUCCUGAACAUAGGCCAAGUGAACUAUUGGAGUAAUAUAGUUUACAGUUUAGCUUCAAAGCAAAGAUAAUUAUAAUCCCUUACCAAAACUUACUCCCUCCAGAGGUUGAAACUGCUUUUGUAGACCAAUAAAAUAUCAUCAGGAUAAGAUUAAGGGAGAGGCAUGAAUUCUGCUAAAAUAUAGGCAUAGUUAAGUUAUAACCUGCCAUUGUUUUCUAUCUUGCUUUUCUAUAAUCUCUUACUCCUCAGGAGUCAGGUAGCUGGAGUAUACAAGAUUUGUAACUCCCCGAAUUGCUCCCAUAAAUAACAUCAAUAUUGUAAAACCUAAGAUUGAUCUUUGGGAUAUUUUUCAGACUUUUGCAUUCUGACGACUGACUGACUCCAGACUUAUGACUCAUACCAAGGAACUUACUCAACUGGCCCUGUGACUCCCAUCCAGAAAAUGACUCAGCAGAAUGUUUUUGACACUUCUAUUAUUUCACCCCCCAGUGAAACAGCAGCACUCAUUCCCUAGCUUCCUUCCAGACAAAUUAUCCUUAAAAAACCCAACCUCUGAGUUCCUGGUGAGGUGAAUUUGAGAAAUAUCUCCCGUCAUUCUGCUUGACUCCCUUGCAGUAUACUCUUUCUUUACUGCAACACUACUGUCUCAGUGUAUUGGCUUUAUCUGUGCAGCAGGCAUGUAGAACUUGUUGGGCUGUAACAUAGCUAUGAAAAAUAUAUAAAAGGCUCUAAUUGAAAAAGGAGACAACCUGCAAGAACAGAAGAGUAAUUUAAGCAAAGCAAUGGAAACCCAAAGUAAGAAUCAAAAAGAAAUGCUGAAAAAAAAUACUGUUAUGAAAAUGAAAAAUGUUUUUGAUGUAUUUAUUAGUAGACUAGAUAUAACAAAGGUAAAAAAAUUACAAAAAUCAAAGACAGGUGAAUAGAAAGUUUCCAAACUGAAAUUCAAUAAUAAUACUAAUAAUAAUCAUAAUUUAAAGAAUAAACCAUACAGAGCAUUUAUUAGUAGACUAGAUAUAGCAAAGGAAAAAAAAUUACGAAAAUCAAAGACAGGUGAAUAGAAAGUUUCCAAACUGAAAUUCAAUAAUAAUAAUAAUAAUAAUAACAACAAUAAUUUAAAGAAUAAACCAUACAGAGCAUCCAAGAAUUCUGAGACAAAUUCCAAAUUGUAACAUGCAUAAUUGCAAUGCUAGAAAGAAUGGAGUAGAAAAAAUAUUUGAAGUAAUGGUUUCUAAAAACUUUUCAAAAUGGAUAACCAAAAUCAAGUCACAGAUCCAGGAAGCUAAGAAAAACACCAAGAAUGGUAAGU
rnacentral:lncRNA from 10 species